AGUGAAUUAGACCAAUUAGAGCUUGUACAGUUAAAUUAUCUGUCUUAUUACCUACUGAUAAACAGCCUUGUCAUAUCUUUACUGAGAUGAUGAAGCUGGAAGUGUUUUAUGAGGAUUUACAUGCUUCUGGAAGGAUCACCUGUAAGGACAGAGCUGACUCAAGAUGGGUGAACUGAACAAAGGGAGGCAAAAUACUGGAACAUUUCCCAGGUGGUAGAUGUCCCAUGCCUGGAAACAUCCAAGGUCAGGUUGGACAGAAGUCUGAGGAACUUGAUGUAGCUGAAGAUUUCCCUGCUAGUCCCAAGCCAUUCUCACCUGCGCACUGAGCCCUGCUUCCUCUCAAGAGUGCAUUAAAGAAACCACUUUGGGUUAACUGGACAUUUAAGAACUACUGCAGAAGGAUGAAUAUAAAUGUUUGAAGAACUGAGGCCCGUAUUGCCUAGUGACAUGAGAACAAAUAUUGCCUUUGUUCAUGAGAACAAAUCACCCACCUAACGAGUUCUGUUUAGAUUCUUGCAGUAGGAAUUUUAGUUUUUAUAUAUACUGUGUCUUUUUAAAAUUGCUAUUCAUCCCUUUCCCAAACAGUCCUACCACAGAGAUCCUUUAAAAAUCAUGUAAUAAAAAUGUCAGUAAAAUAAGACAUGG